GGAGGAAUACCCAAGUCUGGCUGAAGGGAUCGGUCUUGAAAACCGACAGGGGUGUCAAAACCCGCGGGGGUUCGAAUCCCUCUUCCUCCGCCA
rnacentral:tRNA from 1 species